rnacentral:rRNA from 1 species
UGAUGGAGGGGGAUAACUACUGGAAACGGUAGCUAAUACCGCAUAAUGUCGCAAGACCAAAGUGGGGGACCUUCGGGCCUCAUGCCAUCAGAUGUGCCCAGAUGGGAUUAGCUAGUAGGUGGGGUAACGGCUCACCUAGGCGACGAUCCCUAGCUGGUCUGAGAGGAUGACCAGCCACACUGGAACUGAGACACGGUCCAGACUCCUACGGGAGGCAGCAGUGGGGAAUAUUGCACAAUGGGCGCAAGCCUGAUGCAGCCAUGCCGCGUGUGUGAAGAAGGCCUUCGGGUUGUAAAGCACUUUCAGCGGGGAGGAAGGCGUUAAGGUUAAUAACCUUGGCGAUUGACGUUACCCGCAGAAGAAGCACCGGCUAACUCCGUGCCAGCAGCCGCGGUAAUACGGAGGGUGCAAGCGUUAAUCGGAAUUACUGGGCGUAAAGCGCACGCAGGCGGUCUGUCAAGUCGGA